UACGUAGGUGGCAAGCGUUUGUCCGGAUUUACUGGGCGUAAAGGGAGCGUAGGCGGUCUUUUAAGUGGGGUGUGAAAUCCCUGGGCUUAACCCAGGAAUUGCAUUCCAUACUGGGGAGACUAGAGUGCAGGAGAGGAAAGUGGAAUUCCAAGUGUAGCGGUGAAAUGCGUAGAGAUUUGGAGGAACACCAGUGGCGAAGGCGACUUUCUGGACUGUAACUGACGCUGAGGCUCGAGAGCGUGGGGAGCAAACAGG
rnacentral:rRNA from 1 species